GAGUUUGAUCCUGGCUCAGGACGAACGCUGGCGGCGUGCUUAACACAUGCAAGUCGAGCGAUGAAGCUCCUUCGGGAGUGGAUUAGCGGCGGACGGGUGAGUAACACGUGGGUAACCUGCCUCAUAGAGGGGAAUAGCCUUUCGAAAGGAAGAUUAAUACCGCAUAAGAUUGUAGUACCGCAUGGUAUAGCAAUUAAAGGAGUAAUCCGCUAUGAGAUGGACCCGCGUCGCAUUAGCUAGUUGGUGAGGUAACUGCUCACCAAGGCGACGAUGCGUAGCCGACCUGAGAGGGUGAUCGGCCACAUUGGGACUGAGACACGGCCCAGACUCCUACGGGAGGCAGCAGUGGGGAAUAUUGCACAAUGGGGGAAACCCUGAUGCAGCAACGCCGCGUGAGUGAUGACGGUCUUCGGAUUGUAAAGCUCUGUCUUUAGGGACGAUAAUGACGGUACCUAAGGAGGAAGCCACGGCUAACUACGUGCCAGCAGCCGCGGUAAUACGUAGGUGGCAAGCGUUGUCCGGAUUUA
rnacentral:rRNA from 1 species